rnacentral:lncRNA from 1 species
GGGACUACUGGUCAAGCCGUCCGAGUACAACUCCGCUAUUUGCUGGCAGACCAGCUGGCCGCAGCCUUUAGCUUCAAAGGACAAAAGACAAAGCUGAGCUUUUGCAGCCUAAAUCUGUGGACCAUCAUUAAAGAAGCUGUGCAUAGCAACGUGCGGACUCGUAAUGCGACGGAAGAGGACAUAAAAGCAUGCACUAUGGUGUGGCUGAAGAAUGCAAAGGCAUGCAAGGAAAAGCCAUAGAGAACUGUGAACGAGCAACAGAAUGUACAG